GUAACAAAACACAAGGAGAAAACAUUUCAAAAUAAAACAAGUAAUCAGACAACAGGUGACACAACACACGAGCAGACUGGGAGCUGAUAAACUGGGGAGGACACUAUGAGCAGGGCCGGGCUAACGAGGGUGAUGCAGGGCAGGCAGUGUUCGACGGAAAUAGUGUCCUAAUGAAUGUAGUUGCCAAAUUCCCCGGGUCUGUGCAUGACAGCUACAUCUUCAGGAACAGCAGUGUCCACAGAAUGGUGCAGAACAUGGAUGACAACUGCUGGUUAAUGAGUGACGGCGGCUACCAACUGCAACCAUGAACGAUGAAUCCAGCGCGCAAUCCAUCAACGGACAAGGAAGAGGCUUACAACCGGGCAAACAUCAGGACACGUGGUGUGACUGAGCGCACCUUUGGCAUCCUGAAAAGCUGAUUCAGAUGCCUGGAUCGUAGCGGUGGGGCAAUGAUGUACAGUCCCCCCAUGGUAUGCCAGAUCUGCUACAUCUUCCAUAACGUAACCAUGAGAGCCAGUCUGCGUCUUGAGGAGCACGAGGAUGAGCCUGAAGAAGAGGAGCCACCUUGCCAGAUGUGCGAGCAGAUGAGGGCAGGCAUGUCAGAGAAAACAUCAUUAAACAUU